GACGAACGCUGGCGGCGUGCCUAAUACAUGCAAGUUGAGCGCUGAAGGUUGGUACUUGUACCGACUGGAUGAGCAGCGAACGGGUGAGUAACGCGUGGGGAAUCUGCCUUUGAGCGGGGGACAACAUUUGGAAACGAAUGCUAAUACCGCAUAAAAACUUUAAACACAAGUUUUAAGUUUGAAAGAUGCAAUUGCAUCACUCAAAGAUGAUCCCGCGUUGUAUUAGCUAGUUGGUGAGGUAAAGGCUCACCAAGGCGAUGAUACAUAGCCGACCUGAGAGGGUGAUAGGCCACAUUGGGACUGAGACACGGCCCAAGCUCCUACGGGAGGCAGCAGUAGGGAAUCUUCGGCAAUGGACGAAAGUCUGACCGAGCAAGGCCGCGUGAGUGAAGAAGGUUUUCGGAUCGUAAAACUCUGUUGGUAGAGAAGAACGUUGGUGAGAGUGGAAAGCUCAUCAAGUGACGGUAACUACCCAGAAAGGGACGGCUAACUACGUGCCAGCAGCCGCUGUAA
rnacentral:rRNA from 1 species